GCUCGUAGUUGGAUUUUGGGUCGGGGGCACCGGUCCGCCGUUCCGGUGUGCACUGGUGGCCCCUUCCUUUCUGCCGGGGACGUGCGUCGCACUUAAUUGGGUGGCGUUCGGAGUCGGCGUUGUUACUUUGAAAAAAUUAGAGUGUUCAAAGCAAGCCAUCGCUCUGAAUACAUUAGCAUGGAAUAACAUGAUAGGACUCUGGUCUUAUUUUGUUGGUUUCCGAGACUGGAGUAAUGAUUAAGAGGGACAGUCGGGGGCAUCCGUAUUUCAUUGUCAGAGGUGAAAUUCUUGGAUUUAUGAAAGACGAACUUCUGCGAAAGCAUUUGCCAAGGAUGUUUUCAUUAAUCAAGAACGAAAGUUGGGGGCUCGAAGAUGAUCAGAUACCAUCCUAGUCUCAACCAUAAACGAUGCCGACUAGGGAUUGGCGGAUGUUCCUUAGAUGACUCCGCCAGCACCUUAUGAGAAAUCAUUAAGUUUUUGGGUUCCGGGGGGAGUAUGG
rnacentral:rRNA from 1 species